rnacentral:rRNA from 1 species
GACGAACGCUGGCGGCGUGCCUAAUACAUGCAAGUCGAACGCAGUGGGGACGGGUGAGUAACACGUGGGUCACCUACCAUAAGAGGGGAUAACACUUGGAAACAGGUUCUAAAACGAUACUGAUGGCUUGAACAGCGGUGCAUUAGCUAGUUGGGGAGGUAACGGCUCACUAAGGCCACGAUGCAUAGCCGCCCGGAGAGGGUGCUCAGCCACCCUGGGACUGAGACACGGCCCAGACUCCUAAGGGAGGCAGCAGUAGGGAAUCGUCGGCAAUGGACGAAAGUCUGACCGAGCAACGCCGCGUGAGUGAAGAAGGUUUUCGGAUCGUAAAACUCUGUUGUUAGAGAAGCGUUAUCUAACCAGAAAGCCACGGCUAACUACGUGCCAGCCGCCGCGGUAAUAC